rnacentral:rRNA from 1 species
GAUGAACGCUGACAGAAUGCUUAACACAGAAUAACUGAUUGGGUGGCGGACGGGGGAGUAACGCGUAAAGAACUUGCCUCACAGCUAGGGACAACAUUUGGAAACGAAUGAUAAUACAUAAUACUGUGAGAGAGCUUUGCGUCCCAUUAGCUAGUUGGAGAGUGAACGUCUCACCAAGGCGAUGAUGGGUAGCCGGCCUGAGAGUGUGAUCGGCCCCGAGGUGACUGAGACACGGCCCUUACUCCUACGGAAGGCAGCAGUUGGGACUAUUGGACAAUGGACCAAAGUCUGAUCCAGUAAUUCUGUGUGCACGAUGCAGUUGUCUGAAUGUAAAGUGCUUUCAGUUGGGAAGCGGUACCAACAGAAGAAGUUACGGCUAAAUACGUGCCAGCAGCCGCGGUAAUUC